GGGCAGCGCAAAUAGCGGCACAGGUCACAACGGCGCGCUCCUCGGGAGCGCAGCCUUCUCCCAGCUUCUCCCAGCCGGGGCAAGCCGGCGCUGCUAGAAACAAUCUAUCAACCCCGUUCGGGUCAUUCAAAACUCGUAUCGCAGCUGGAAGCGGUCGGGGAGCGGCACGACUCCCAGCCAGCAGCACCAACAAGUGCGAGCAGCUUCCACCGGGCGGGGGGACAUCGCCGGGCAGCAGCAGCAGCCGCCUUUCCCUUCCACCGCUGCCACUCCGAACCACCGCGGAGCACCGGGACACAGCAAUAACGCCGGCAAACCCCGCGCACGCUCCCGAUGGAGCCCCCCGCUCCCCCGGAGGCGGCACCCAGCCCGAAGGAGCCGCGGCGCGCCGCCAGCCCCGCCGCACGGGGGAAGGGAACGCGGGAAGGGACUGCCACGCCGUACUGACCUCCCCGAACUGCAGGGCGGAGACGAUCAUGAGGACGAGGCCCCCGAGGCAGAGGCAGGGCCCAUAGCGGUGAGAGAGGCAGGUGUAGGUCUGGCGCUGGAGGAGCUUUAGCAGCAUGGCCCGCCGGCCGCCGCCGCAGCCACCCGGCCAGGCGCGGCCCUGCGCGGUGCGGCCCGGCGCGGCCCGCCUCAGCGCGCUGCCAUGCGCCGGGCCGGGCGGGCGGGUCCCGCCGCCGCCGACGGUCCCGCACCGCUUCCGGCAGCGCUACGGCGCCACCUGGCGGCGGAAUCGGGCGGGCGGAGCGGGGAUCACCGCGCUUCUGGUCUCCAGAGCCAAGGAAAGAGCAGCCAUCGGCACUCACGAGACUCUUAUUUUGCCUUGCCCGGAGUAACAGCGCCUGACCGUUUCCAGAAGUUUGUCCUCGUGUUUUCAUGGCCGUGCCGUGGGAGGACUGCACGCAGCUAUAAUUCUUCAGGAUUCUGUCACAGAGUCAUAGAAUCAUUGAGGUUGGAAAAGACCACGAAGAUCAACUACCCCAACCAUCAGUCCGUCAACCUCACCAUGCCCACUGACCACGUCCCUCAGUGCCACAUCCACACUGUUCUUCAACACCUCCAGUGAUGGUGACUGCACCACCUCCCUGGGCAGCCUGUGCCACUGCAGCACCGCUCUUGCUGAUAAGAACGUUUUUCCUAAUAUCCAACCUGAACCUCCUCUGGCUCAACUUGAUGUCAUUACCUCUGGCUCUAUCACUGUUACCUGGGAAAAGAGGCCAACCCCCACCUCACCGCAUCCUCCUUUCAGGUCACUGUAGAGAGUGAUGAGGUCUCCCCUGAGCUCCUCUUCUUCAUACUGAACAACCUCAGCUCCCUCAGCAGCUUCUCAUGAGACUUGUGCUCCAGACCCUUCACAGCUCCAUUGCCCUUCUCCUGACAGUUCAGGGCCUCAAUGUUUUAUUGGAAAGUCUCAUCAGAGUUGCUAAGGAGCACAAAUCUUUGUAACUGAAGAGCCAUGGAGGACACUGGCAGAGGCCGAAUAAGGAUGAAGAACACUGUUACAACUGGGGAAAAAGAAAAAAAAAAUCUCAAAAGGGAUCAGCCAAAAUAUUUAGGUUUUGUAAAAUUACAUUUUGUUUGUUAGAUUUGUAUCAACUUGAAACAAACAGUUCAGUCAUAAAGAGGUUUCACAACGUUA